rnacentral:lncRNA from 1 species
UUCAAAUAGGGCACCGUAUCUCUUGUACCAAAAGAAAAAAAAUAGGGCACUGUAUCCUAUGUUUAUCCAUGGCCACAGGAAACUGAGGAAAGGAUAAGGAUCUUGAGGGUUUUGAUAGGAGACAUGCACUGAUGGGGAAGGAUAAGAUCGAGCCUUAUCCAAGGAGGAGUGACCGUCUCCGGCAACUGUCGGGCUACCUCAUCGAAGCUCUCCAUCCCUUUAAAAACCUUAUCCCUCUUUUCUAAACCCAUCAACCCCUAUUCCAAGAGUCUUN